UACAGAGGGUGCGAGCGUUAUCCGGAUUCACUGGGUUUAAAGGGUGCGUAGGAGGGCAGGUAAGUCAGUGGUGAAAUCUCCGAGCUUAACUUGGAAACUGCCGUUGAUACUAUCUGUCUUGAAUAUUGUGGAGGUGAGCGGAAUAUGUCAUGUAGCGGUGAAAUGCUUAGAUAUGACAUAGAACACCGAUUGCGAAGGCAGCUCACUACACGAAUAUUGACACUGAGGCACGAAAGCGUGGGGAUCAAACAGG
rnacentral:rRNA from 1 species